AGCCUCCCUAUCCCUUUCCCAUCAGAUCUGAAUACCGAUCUUAUGGUCAAAAAGGAGGGAAAUUAAAAUUUAAGUUGGCCCUAGUAUCUUUGCUGGGACAAAUCCUGCACUGAACUGGGCUGGCUUAAAACAAUU
ensembl:snoRNA small nucleolar RNA SNORA61